rnacentral:ncRNA from 2 species
GGAGUGCCGGGAGUUCUUCACGAGAGGUUCACGAGGGGGAGCUUCUUCCCUUGAUCCAUCUCUGGGAUGGUCUGUGAUAAUUGUCUGAUUGAUUUGAGGGGAAAUAUUGGGGAGGAGAUAUUUUUCCUUUCACAUCUUCCUCC